UUGUAAUUUAUUAUAUAGGUAUAAUAAAUUUUGAGUUUAGAGGAGAUGGUGUAAUUCCAUUAAUUAUAA
rnacentral:tRNA from 1 species